AUCGCUUCUCGGCCCUUUUGGCUAAGAUCAAGUGUAGUCUGGAGCCGGGGCUUGAUCCGUCCACUCCACGCAUCGGCCUGGUAUUGCAGUGUCGCCAGGAACGGUGUGCUCAGG
rnacentral:snRNA from 1 species